AGUGAACGCUGGCGGUAGGCCUAACACAUGCAAGUCGAACGGCAGCACAGUAAGAGCUUGCUCUUACGGGUGGCGAGUGGCGGACGGGUGAGGAAUACAUCGGAAUCUACUUUUUCGUGGGGGAUAACGUAGGGAAACUUACGCUAAUACCGCAUACGACCUACGGGUGAAAGCAGGGGAUCUUCGGACCUUGCGCGAUUGAAUGAGCCGAUGUCGGAUUAGCUAGUUGGCGGGGUAAAGGCCCACCAAGGCGACGAUCCGUAGCUGGUCUGAGAGGAUGAGCAGCCACACUGGAACUGAGACACGGUCCAGGCUCCUACGGGAGGCAGCAGUGGGGAAUAUUGGACACUGGGCGCAAGCCUGAUCCAGCCAUACCGCGUGGGUGAAGAAGGCCUUCGGGUUGUAAAGCCCUUUUGUUGGGAAAGAAAAGCAGCAGGUUAAUACCCCGCUGUUCUGACGGUACCCAAAGAAUAAGCACCGGCUAACUUCGUG
rnacentral:rRNA from 1 species